rnacentral:lncRNA from 1 species
GUGAGUGAUUUUGCAGAUAUAAUUAAAGCCCCCAGUCAGUUUACCUGAUGAUAUGGAGAUCACCUGAGUGGGCCUGACCCAAUCAUGUGAGCUUUUUAAAAGCUUAUAUGGUGUUCUCUGGCUGAUCACAGUAGAAGUCAGAGAGUUUCAAGGCAGAUUCAGGGCUCAAUGAACCGUUGCUUCCUUUGAAGAUGGAGGAAACCUCAUGAAAAGCAAUGUGGACAGCCUCCUAGAGGAGAGAGGGGCCCCCAAAUGGCAGCCAGCAAAGAAAUGGGGACGUUAGAACCUCCUACCUACAGUUAUGAGUAACAGGAUUUUGCCAAUGAUUUGCAUGAGCUCGGAAGUGGAUUACCCUCCAGAGCCUGCAGAUAAGAGCCCCAUUAUGGGCUACUUGAGUUUGGUCUUGUGAGAUGGAGCAGAGAACUCAGCUAACCCAUACCCAGACUUAUGAGAGACCACAUGUUCCAGAUGAAGUAAAUACCAGAUGUCGGAAGGCCAUCCAACCUACAUCAGAUUUGAGUGAAUGAGAUAAAAACCUUUUAUGGUGUUAAGCUGUGAAAUGAGUCUGACUUUGAUGUAUCUAGGUGUGGUUCUCUUUGUGAAUACCCUAUAUGGGGUUCAUCGAACUUCUUGGAUCUUUAAGUUGUAACUGGCCCAGACUACUGUGGAGUCUGUCUCCUGCACCUGUGCAACCCCUGAUGUCUCAGCUAAGUUUUUUUUUCUCUGUUUAUAAAAUUCUUAUUCAUAUCUUUUAGUCUGGCUUCAUAGGGAUUGCAUCUGUGCCUGCAGAGGGUAUUUGUCAGCUCUUGAUUUGGAAAAAGUUUGCGCCCAUCAGGCCUCCACUGUUUUGCAUUUUGUGUCAUUUCAGACAUGCAUUCAAAGUUGCAUCCAAUUCUCAAGUUUCCCUUUGCUUUCUUUCUUUCUUUUCUUUUUUUGGUUGCUUCUUCUGGGUCUCCCUGGUGCAUGUGAGGUUUAGCAGUCAACCAGGGUUGUGUGAAAGCUGAUCUCAGCCCUUCCAUGGCUCUCUUAGUUCUAGGAUCACCUCCUUAGUUUUUUUUUUGUCUGCUAUUCACCCUGAAUUAUUUUAGCAUGACUGGGGGAACAAGGUAUGGGCAUUUCCUCUGUGCUCUGACAUGAGUCUGUCACUUUUAAACUAGCAAAGCCUUCAAUUUUCUGUAUCCCUCUCCCUCCCACCCAAAGCAAUUUGAGUUCACCACCACUGGCUGCAAAGGUGCUGUUUGUGCUGUCAGUCUCAAACCACGAAACUACAGCUUUGACAGCUGAGUGGAGGGUGUAUGGAUGGGAGUAGAUGAAGACAAGCAGCCCAGAGAUUCACAAUAGAUUUGUUGCCAUUCUUACCCAAUGUUGUUGGAGUUUUCAAAACGAAUGCUUUUCAGUGUAUUUGUCUGUUCAAUUUCCUGUGUCCCGAAAUAGUUUGAAAGAUUUUUUUUAAAAGUGUUAUAGGACUCAUUCUACCUCCUCUCAUUUGUUCUAUCGUUAAAUCCUACUUCCUGUGGUUGAUUUUGAAUUGUAA